CAGUAGCCGCGGGAAUACAGAGGGUGCGAGCGUUAAUCGGAUUUACUGGGCGUAAAGCGUGCGUAGGCGGCUUCUUAAGUCGGAUGUGAAAUCACUGAGCUUAACUUAGGAAUUGCAUUCGAUACUGGGAAGCUAGAGUAUGGGAGAGGAUGGUAGAAUUCCAGGUGUAGCGGUGAAAUGCGUAGAGAUCUGGAGGAAUACCGAUGGCGAAGGCAGCCAUCUGGCCUAAUACUGACGCUGAGGUACGAAAGCAUGGGGAGCAAACAGGAUUAGAUACCCCAGUAGUCCCUGUCUAUUAUAU
rnacentral:rRNA from 1 species